GCUGAAUUUGACUCAACACGGGAAAACGUACCCGGCCCGGAACCUGGCAGGAUUGACAGGUUGAGAGCUCUUUCUUGAUUCCGUGUUUGGUAGUGCAGGGUCAUUGUUAGUUUGUGGAGCGAUUUGUGUGGUUAAUUCCCAUAACGAUCGAUUCUCUAGCCUAUUAAAUAUGUGCCGGGACCCCAGCUCCUUACAACCUUCUCAGAAGGAGAAAUGGCUUCUAGCCUCACGGAACAGAGUGUUAUUUUAUCGUGGGCUUUAUAUUUGCGGUAGCA
rnacentral:rRNA from 1 species